UUCACCAUUGAUUAAAUCGAAUAUAUACAGCAACCGAGCCUAUGUAUGAUUUCGAUCAAAUUGUGAGGUUAAGGAUGCGGUUAUAUAGAUUGAUAUUUUCCGCGUAAUGCGUUUCGCGUAACCAAUCAGAGGCGUUCGCUUUCUGUUAUACCUGUUUUAAAUGUUAUCGUUCACAUGAACACAAAAUUUGUGUUAAAAAUAUUUGCGUAACCAAUCUGUAACAUUUGUAGUAUUUUUGUUCGAAUAUUUUAACAGAAUAGAAAAAUUAUUGGUUAAAUGCUAUGUGCUACUGCCGUUUUAUGUGCCAUGUGCAUUAAGGACAUUUAAUUCCGCGUAACAAAAACCGCGGAAUGCCUCUGAUGUUAUUGUUUCGUAUAGGAGACAACAUGAAAUGUCUUUUGUAUGCAUUUCGCAUACGAACUAGUACCAUUUAAAAAAUAAUUUUAGAAACUUGUGAAGCAAUCUGGACAUUACGAGAUAAAGUUUUUCCAGAAUUUAACAAUGACUUUUGGAAAAAUAUAGUAAGAGAAUUUGAAGAAAAGUGGAAUUUUCCACAUUGUAUAGGAGAUGAAAAACAUGUUAUAAUUCAGGCAUACAUUAUGCUGAAGUCAGCCGUACUCGACCAUGGGGAAAUGUUGUACGGCAUGAGCUUAAGCUCUAUCAUUAUCUGUUAAUUUAUCACAGAUAAAAAUCCAUAUAUAAUGUGGGAAUCCAUAUAUGGAUGCGGGAAUAAAAUUAACGAGAUCGAUACUCGAAAACCGAGCCAACCAUCAUUCUUGUUUUUUUAAAUAAUAUCUUUGGUUAAUAGUUUAAAAACUUGCUUUUUCGCUUUCAAACUCUACUGCUGUGGCUAUUUGAAGAAAUUUAAUUUCCAACAUAAUUCUCUUUUGAUAUAAUAAACGGCAUAAAGCUUCUAUAGUUCUUAAAAAGCCAUCAACGAUAUCUAGUUCUGGAAUAAGCAUCUUUAAAAUAUCUAAUACGGCAGUUUGUAACUGUCCUGACUCAUUGUUUUUUUUUGUUCUGUUAACAUAAUUGAAUUAAAAUAUCUAAUUAGUAAUA